CCGGCGCGCGCUGGGGGCUGUCGCCCGCCCGGCCCCCGCUGAGGGACGGCGGCGCCCAUCGCUGUGGCGGCGCGGCGGCUGGGAGGGGGGUGCGGGGAACAAAACGAACACGAGGGAGUAUUUGUCUUCCACGAUUCUGCUGAAAGUAGGUAAAACCCUGGAAAAUGACACGGGUCUGUUAAAAGUUCAGUGCUGUAUUAACAACAAAAGCCCAGUUGGAGAUUGGAAGCCAAACUGUGGAGAGAAAAAGAUGCUGGAUCCAUGAGGUUCUAACUGUCCUCAAAUGAGCCGAGGCAUCUGUGGGGACUGUGAGCACCUACUUGCCCGGUUCAGGCUAAACUGUGCCUCCAGCAAGAUACAUUGGGACUGUAGGCAAGAAGCGAGCAGCGCUUAACCAUGAGACUGGAAAUGGUAUCAUCAGUUUUGCAACUAUUCACUCCUGGUGGUUGGAAUUGCUUGGACCCACACCAGAAACUGCUGAAAAAAGGGAAGAAUGAUCAAAUCAGUCCCCACGCAACAAAAUUUUCUUUUAAUUCUCAUUUCAGUUGCCUUGACCAGUCAUACUGCACACCCACUGUGAGACUCAGCUGCUUUUAAAAAAAAAAAAACAAACCACACACACACGCACACAAACAACAAACAACCCAAGAGAAUUCCAAAACCUACCACGUAAAAACAAAUCAUUCACUAAAAGUUUCAGAGAUAUGUUCCUGCUCUAAACUGUCACUAGGUUAGCCUUUGGAGCUAUAAUUUUAGACGAUUUAUAUGAUAGUUUUCAGAAAACUCUAGGUAUUAUUAUUACAAUUUUUGCUCUUUAAUUAUCAUAUUUAACUGUCAUUCAGCGAGGUUUUUAUGUAAAUGAUAUCCAUGGCAACUCUCCACCAGCAGAUGGCACGACUACAGACCAUGAUCAUGAUCUACAAGUACUGGAAUAGGCAGGAGAGCUCUGAAGCUACUGUUAUGCUUUUCCAUAUCCUUUUACAGCUUUUAUUUGGAUUUUCAUGGAGGCAAGGUUUCUAGUGGGAGGCUGAAUAUAAAGUCUGAUUACAUCCUUUCUAGGGCCAAUGUUAUCUAUAUCCUUUUUCCUCUCUGGAGGCUAUAUAGCCCUGUUGCUGAAAAAAUUGACCUGCGGACAAAAUUAAUAGCAAAUAUUACACAAAAUGGCUUUUGAUUUCUAGAAUAUAGAUUGACUUUUUGUGUAAAAUCCAGUGCUUGAAACAUGCAACGGGUAGCACAAGAGGAAUGAAGGCUUAGCCCAAGAGCAUGACCAGCACAAGCUCUGGUGGUGCCAGGAAGGGCGGCCUGCACAGCAAGGAGGGGGAUUCCUUGUUUGCAUCUCUGAGGUAGCUAGGGGCUCUGCACAAAAGUGAACUACAUUCUUUGCUCCCCACAUCUUCCAUUCAAAACAGAAAAAAGGAUGUUGUGGGGGGUAGCACCCUGUAUAGCCUACAGGCAGCAUGACUGAAGUAUGGGUGAAAACAGAAGUGAAAGAGUAUAUUCCAUGCCUAAUUCUCUGACUCUAUCACUGUAUAUCUUAAAACCUGCAAAAAUUAGCAGUGUAAGGUAUAAGCAAGAACUGAAGAUCUACAUUCUCUUCCUUGAGUAGGUCUCCUUCAGCCCUGUGCAGUCCAGGUCAUCACAUCUUCAUUGCUGGCAGCAGGAGCUGGGCCAGGUGACCUUCAGAGGUUCCUUCCAUUUUUCUGUGGUUACCUUCAUUAGCUUGGCAUGCAUUUGACAAAAGCUAGCAUAUAAUUACAAAGAAUUACAGAAAGUUCUCCUGAUGGACUGGCUGUUCUCCAGGCUACAACCAGACAUUAAUCUGACCCCAGGACAACCUAUAAAUCUGAAAGGACUAAAGAAAAAAAUAAAACAAGAAAAUAACUGAUUACAGGAGGCAACAAAUGGAAACAGGGUAAAAUCGUUGCAAGAGGAUACCAGGUAGAGCACCUCUGACUGUGCCUAUUAAUUCCUGAAGGAGACAGGGCAUUGGAUGUUAAUCCAACAUUUGGGCUGGUACAAUAAAGCCAGCGUGGCACCGGAAGAACCACCCUAUAGCACUGUAACUUCUGCUAACUACCAAGCCCUAGAAGCUGACAGCCCGUAGGUUAGUCACCAGCAGGAUAUAGGAAUUGGGUUUAUAGGAGAGCAUGAGCUGGGUUUACAUCAUCUAUCUUCCUCAAGCUUUUUAGAUAUUAGCUACCUGUUCGCUGCCUAAGUAUGUGCAAAGUGUAUACAGAUGUAUUUAUUAUCCCUGAACAGGCCAUACAGAGAGUUUGUAGUUUUUACUAGUUUACCUGAAGAUUAUUUUAUUGUAAAGACAUUCCAGGGCAUGGAAAGGUGCACUCCAAAAGAAAAGCAAAUAAAGUUUCCCCCUGCUCCAAAUUCAAGUACAGUUACCAGGCAAUAGCAAGGCAGGAUCCCUGAAAUGCAUUACCACUUCUUUUCACAGUGGAAAUUACUAGGUGUUCAAGUGAUUCAUAGAUUACAGUAAAACCAACAUAGAUACAUGCAAAAUUUCAAUAAUUUAAUACAAAAAUGUCAUCAUGAAUCCAUUCUCAGUACAAGUGAAUGCCAAGGCAAGACCUGAAUAUCCUCAAGGCAAGACCUGAAUAUCCUGAAUAAGCACCUUAAGAGCUGAAAUGGACUCUCCUGGUUAAUUAAUUGCUAUCUUUGUUUGAGGACAUGUGUGGCAAUUUGCGGAUAGAAAUGUUUAUACAAGAAAUGCCACAGGCUUGAUUGUUGCUGCCCACCUCUCUACCCACAAAAAACACCCAGGUUAUAAUCACCACCUUCAGACACUCGCUGUUGCACGCAAAAAUUCCAUUAAUUCAAGCGCAUUGCUUCCAAGACAUUUGUAUUUUCUAGUACUUGGGUUGUUUCAGGUUUUUUUGGUCAGAGAUUCCAUUCAAUAGCCAUCAUGAACGUGACAUUUUAUUCUGAAAAGGGUUGUAUUUGUUUGGAGUAUGUUUAUUCAUUGAACUGUUUAGUUUAAUAUGCUUGCUGUAAAUAAACUCAAUUAACCCUUACAGUAAAA